GACCUGGUCGGGUGGUCCGCCUAACGGUGUGUACUGCCUGACUGGGCCUUACCUCUUGGUGAGCCGGCGUGCCCUUUAUUGGUGUGCGCCGGGGAACCAGGACUUUUACCUUGAGAAAAUUAGAGUGUUCAAAGCAGGCCUAUGCCCGAAUACAUUAGCAUGGAAUAAUAGAAUAGGACUUUGGUUCUAUUUUGUUGGUUUAGGGCCGAAGUA
rnacentral:rRNA from 1 species